rnacentral:rRNA from 1 species
CUAGUUGGUGAGGUAAUGGCUCACCAAGGCUUUGAUCGGUAGCUGGUCUGAGAGGAUGAUCAGCCACACUGGAACUGAGACACGGUCCAGACUCCUACGGGAGGCAGCAGUGGGGAAUCUUGCACAAUGGGCGAAAGCCUGAUGCAGCGACGCCGCGUGGGGGAUGAAGCAUUUCGGUGUGUAAACCCCUUUCGACUGGGAAGAAUACCUCGCAAGAGGGGUGACGGUACCAGUAGAAGAAGCCCCGGCUAACUACGUGCCAGCAGCCGCGGUAAGACGUAGGGGGCCAGCGUUGUUCGGAAUUACUGGGUGUAAAGGGUUCGUAGGCGGUGCGGCAAGUUGGGAGUGAAAUCUCUGGGCUCAACCCAGAGGCUGCUUCCAAAACUGCUGUGCUCGAGUGUGAGAGAGGCUCGUGGAAUUGCAGGUGUAGCGGUGAAAUGCGUAGAUAUCUGCAGGAACACCCGUGGCGAAAGCGGCGAGCUGGAUCACUACUGACGCUGAGGAACGAAAGCUAGGGGAGCAAACAGGAUUAGAUACCCUGGUAGUCCUAGCCCUAAACGAUCAGGACUUGGGGUGCCGCCCGUUCGGGCGUCGUCCCGGAGCUAACGCGUUAAGUCCUGCACCUGGGGAGUACGGUCGCAAGACUGAAACUCAAAGGAAUUGACG